rnacentral:misc_RNA from 1 species
CGGGAUUCCAUAGGACUCGAUUUACUGAGAUCCUCGGAUCUUCACCCAUACUUUUCAGAAAGUCCGGUGAAAAAACCUCUACUUCCCAGAUCAUUAACGUUCUUCGAAACAACAUUUUUCCAGAACUAACAUCCCACAGCUCUACGCUUCCACCACCGUCUCCAACUAUCAGAAGUGUCUGUUGAACAGGGUGAAAAUCCAUUGUGGUUGGAUAAUAGUUGACCGUCG